rnacentral:snRNA from 1 species
AGCGCUUCUCGGCCUUUGGCUAAGAUCAAGUGUAGUACUGUUCUUAUCAGUUUAAUAUCUGCGUCCCUCUAUCCGAGGACAAUAUAUUAAAUGGAUUUUGGAGCAGGGAGAUGGAAUAGGAGCUUGCUCCGUCCACUCCCACAUCGACCUGGUAUUGCAGUACCUCCAGAACGGUGCACCCCUC